rnacentral:lncRNA from 1 species
GGGUAGAUGUAAAGUAACGGUAUACCUGAUGCUUUGAUUACCACUUGAUGAGAACAAGAGUGGCCCGAUCUUCCGAAAGGUUCUGCUAACUCUCGAUUUGGUGGAGACAAGACACAAAUCGAUGCGGCUUCCAAACAACACGAUCCAAAACUCUGCAUUUUAUUUAUUUUUUUGAUAUUUUUCUUUUACUUAGGAGCACUAAAGGAGUAAGCACAGAAAAUUUGAGGUUAAACAAGUGAAAGACGUGGCCUGCAAAAUUUUCUGAAGAUUGAGAAAAAUGUGAAAAAGACUUUACGAGGUGAAAACUCAAACUUUGGAGGCAAAUUUAGAGAUUGUAAAAUUUUCAAACCCGCCAGACACGGGGACAGACAGAACAGAAAUUUUUUCUAGUCGAUUUUGAUAUAUGAAUGUUGAAAUCAGAGUUCGUAUGCGAAACUUAUGACUGUUUUACGAACGGACUCCGAAUUAGAGGACAAAACAGUGCGAAAGUGGGAAAAAUUUAAGGCGGUGCUAGAAAUUAAUGGAAACAUUGGGGAAAAACAUACGAACUAGACUCUAACAAGACCUAACAUGCAACAAGACCUCGACCAAGACACAAACUCAACACUGCAGACUCUAAAACUGAAAUAUGCAAAGGCUAUGGCGUGGAAAGGUUCUACGACAGGAAAACGAUAUGGCACUGAACUUAUGGGACGAACACAAGAACACUCGAAACUAAGGGUAGAUGUGAACCUAACGGUAUACCUGAAGUUUUGAUUACCACUUGAUGAGAACAAGGGUGGCCCGAUCUUGCGAAAGGUUCUGGUAACUCUCGAUUUUGUGGAGACGAGACACAAAUCGAUCUGGAUUCCGAACAACAGGAUCUGAAACCCUGCAAUUUUUUUAUUUUUUUGAUAUUUUUCUUUUACUUAGGAGCACUAAACAAGUAACCAUAGAAAAUUUGAGCUUAAACAAGUGAAAGAUGUGGCCUGCUGAAUUUUCUGAAGAUUGAGAAAAAUGUAAAAAAAAACUUCAUGAAGUGAAACUGAAACUUCGGAGGCAAAUUUGGAUAUUUUAAAAUUUUGAAACCCGCCAAAGAUGGGGAUAGACAGAUCUGAAUUUUUUCUCAUCAAUUUUGAUAUAUGGAACGUUGAAAUCGUAUUUCGUAAGCGAAAGUUAUGGCUGUUUUACGAACGGAUUCCGAAUUAGAGGACAAAACGGUGCGAAAGUGAGAAAAAUUUGCGGCGGUGGCUAGAAAUUGAUGGAAACGGUGGGGAAAUACACACGAACUGGACUCUAACAAGACCUAACCAGCAACAAGACCUCGACUAUGACACAAACUCAACACUGUGGACUCUAAAACUGAAAUAUGCAAAGGCUAUGGCGCGGAAGGGUUGUAGGACUGGAAAACGAUAUGGCACUGGACUUAUGGGACGAACACAAGAACACUUGAAACUAAGGGUAGAUGUAAAUCUAAUGGUAUACCUGAAGCUUUGAUUACAGAACAAGGGUGGCCCGAUCUUCCGAAAGGUUCUGGUAACUCUCGAUUUGGUGGAGACGAGACACAAAUCGAUCCAGCUUCCGAGCAACACGAUCUGAAACCCUGUAAUUUUUUUAUUUUUUUGAUAUUUUUCAUUUACUUAGGAGCACUAAAGAUGUAACCACAUAAAAUUUGAGGUUAAACAAGUGAAAGACGUGGCCUGCAAAAUUUUCUGAAGAUUGAGAAAAAUGUGAAAAAACUUCACGAGAUGAAAACUCAAAUUUCGGAUGCGAAUUUGAAGAUUAUAAAAUUUUCAAACUCGCCACAGGCAGGGAUAGACACAUCCAAAAAGUUUUUCUGAUCGAUUUUGAUAUAUGGAACAUUGAAAUCGGAGUUCGUAUGUGAAAGUUAUGGCUGUUUUACGAACGGGCUCCGAAAUAGAGGACAAAACGGUCCGAAAGUGGGAAAAAUUUGCGGCGGUGGCCAGAAAUUGAUGGAAAUAGUGUGGAAAAACACAUGAAAUGGACUCUAACAAGACCUAACCAGCAACAAGACCUCGACCAGGACACAAACUCAACACUGCAGUCUCUAAAACUGAAAUAUGCAAAGGCUAUGGCACGAAAGGAUUGUAGGACAGGAAAACAAUAUGGCACUGGACUUAUGGGAUGAACAUAAGAACACUCGAAACUAAGGGUAGAUGUGAACCUAAUGGUAUACCUGAAGCUUCGAUUACCACUUGUUGAGAACAAGGGUGGCCCGAUCUUCCGAAAGUUUAUGGUAACUCUCGAUUUGUUGGAGACGAGACACAAAUCGAUCCGGCUUCCGAACAACACGAUCUGAAACUCUACAAUUUUUUUAUUUUUUUGAUAAUUUUCUUUUACUUAGGAGCACUAAAGAAGUAACCACAGAAAAUUUGAGCUUAAACAAGUGAAAGACGUGGCCUGCUGAAUUUUCUGAAGAUUAAGAAAAAUAUAAAAAAACUUCACUAGGUGAAAACUCAAACUUCGGAGGCAAAUUUGGAGAUUUUAAAAUUUUCAAACCCGCCAAAGAUGGGGAUAGACACAUCCGUAAUUUUAUUCUGAUCGAUUUUAUAUAUGGAACAUUGAAAUCGGAGUUCGUAUGCGAAAGGUAUGGCUGUUUUACGAACAGACUCCAAAUUAGAGGACAAAACGGUGCGAAAGUGGGAAAAAUUUGCGGCGGUGGCUAGAAAUUGAUGGUAACAGUGAGAAAAUACACACGAACUGGACUCUAACGAGACCUAACUAGCAACAAGACCUCGACUAGGACACAAACUCAACACAGUGGACUCUGAAACUGAAAUAUGCAAAGGCUAUGGCGCGGAAGGGUUGUACGACAGGAUAACGAUAUGACACUCGACUUAUGGGACGAACACAAGAACACUCGAAACUAAGGGUAGAUGUGAACCUAACGGUAUAUCUGAAGCUUUGAUUACCACUUGAUGAGAACAAGGGUGGCCCGAUCUUCCGAAAGGUUCUGGUAUCUCUCGAUUUGCUGGAGACGAAACACAAAUCGAUCCGACUUCCGAGCAACACGAUCUGAAAGCCUGCAAUUUUUUUUUAUUUUUUUGAUAUUUUUCAUUUACUUAGGAGCACUAUGGAAGUAACCACAAAAAAAUUUGAGCUUAAACAAGUGAAAGACGUGGCCUGCGGAAUUUUCUGAAGAUUGCGAAAAAUGUGAAAUAACUUCACGAGGUGAAAACUCAAAUUUUGGAGGCGAAUUUGAAGAUCCUAAAAUUUUCAAACUCGCCAAAGGCAGGGAUAGACACAUCCAAAAAAUUUUUCUGAUCGAUUUUGAUAUAUGGAACAUUGAAAUCGGGGUUCGUAUGUGAAAGUUAUGGCUGUUUUAUGAACGGGCUCCGAACUAGAGGACAAAACGGUCCAAAAGUGGAAAAAAUUUGCGGCGGUGCCUGGAAAUUGAUGAAAACGGUGGGGAAAGACUCUGAAACUGAAAUAUGCAAAGGCUACGGCGCAGAAGGGUUGUAGGGUAGGAAAACGGUAUGGCACUGGACAUAUGGGACGAACACAAGAACACUCAAAACUAAGGGUAGAUGUGAACCUAAUGGUAUACGUGAAGCUUUGAUUACCACUUGAUGAAAACAAGGGUGGACCGAUCUUUCGAAAGGUUCUGGUAACUCGAUUUGGUAGAGACGAGACAAAAACCAAACCGGCCUCCGAACAACACGAUCCAAAAACCUACAAUUUUUUUUAUAAUUUUCUUUUACUUAGGAGCACUAAAGAAGUAACCAUAGAAAAUUUGAGCUUAAACAAGUGA